GAUGAACGCUAGCGACAGGCUUAACACAUGCAAGUCGAGGGGCAGCGGGGUGUGGCAACACACUGCCGGCGACCGGCGCACGGGUGAGUAACGCGUAUGCAACUUGCCUAUCAGAGGGGGAUAACCCGGCGAAAGUCGGACUAAUACCGCAUAAAACAGGGGUCCCGCAUGGGGAUAUUUGUUAAAGAUUCAUCGCUGAUAGAUAGGCAUGCGUUCCAUUAGGCAGUUGGCGGGGUAACGGCCCACCAAACCGACGAUGGAUAGGGGUUCUGAGAGGAAGGUCCCCCACAUUGGUACUGAGACACGGACCAAACUCCUACGGGAGGCAGCAGUGAGGAAUAUUGGUCAAUGGCCGGGAGGCUGAACCAGCCAAGUCGCGUGAAGGAUGAAGGUCCUAUGGAUUGUAAACUUCUUUUGUGCGGGAAUAAAGUCGGGGAUGCGUCCCCGUUUGCAUGUACCGUACGAAUAAGCAUCGGCUAACUCCGUGCCAGCAGCCGCAGUAA
rnacentral:rRNA from 1 species